rnacentral:rRNA from 1 species
UACGAAGGGGGCUAGCGUUGCUCGGAAUCACUGGGCGUAAAGGGUGCGUAGGCGGGUCUUUUAAGUCAGGGGUGAAAUCCUGGGGCUCAACUCCAGAACUGCCUUUGAUACUGAGGAUCUUGAGUACGGGAGAGGUGAGUGGAACUGCGAGUGUAGAGGUGAAAUUCGUAGAUAUUCGCAAGAACACCAGUGGCGAAGGCGGCUCACUGGCCCGUAACUGACGCUGAGGCACGAAAGCGUGGGGAGCAAACAGG